AUUUCUCAAGGCAAAGAACCUAAAACACGAACCGAGCGUAAAUUCAAAUUAUUAAACCAACAAAAUGACGCGACUCGUUAUCCUUAUCACAUUCAUACUCGGUUUCAUUGCGAUCCAAACCGAAGGAGCAGUAAUCAUCCGGCAGCCAGUGACGACAAAUCCCCUAGAAAACGUGACAGCCCGGUUGACACGGCUGCUUUAACAGCAUUGGAUGCUGGAGACAGUUCUCGCGGUGCCAAACUGCGAAGCACCUUUUCGAUCAAUCAGCGCCGGCCAUGUACCUUCUGCAAGUUCUUCACGACGGUGACACCGGUGCCGAAGCGGAAGAUGUUCUUCAAAUUUGUGCAAGUUUGAAGGGCACUGGAGGCACUUUUUGGGAUGACAGAAGCAGUAUUAUGUGUUCUAAAUUUAUAGACACCGCAUUUAUCGCUGAAAUUUUUCUGUGUUUAUAUGUUGUAAAUAUUAGUAGUAUAGUUUCUUAAGAUGUUUUUUUAUGAAAACAGCGACAACAUAGAUAUUAAUAAAUCAAUUAUAAAAGUGCA